CUUAAUUCGACUCAACACGGGAAAACUCACCAGGCCCGGACACUGGAAGGAUUGACGGAUUAACAGCUCUUUCUCGAUUCGGUGGGUGGUGGUGCAUGGCCGCUCUUAGUUGGUGGAGCGAUUUGUCAGGUUAAUUCCGGUAACGAACGUAACUCUGGCCUAUUAAAUAGACGCCCCGAAAUCACGAGGGUCCGGCUUCGGUCGGUCUUCAACUUUCGGCGGACAUUGUACUCUUCUUAGAGGGACCGGCGGUAUAUUUAGCCGCACGAGAUUGAGCAAUAGCAGGUCUGUGAUGCCCUUAGAUGUCCUGGGCCGCACGCGCGCUACACUGAAGGGAUCAACGUGUCUUCCUUAGCCCAACGGCUCGGGUAACCCGUUGAAACCCCUUCGUGACAGGGAUUGGGGUUUGCAAUUCUCCCCCAUGAACGAGGAAUUCCUAGUAAGCGCGGGUCACCAGCUCGCGUUGAUUGCGUCCCUGCCCUUUGUACACACCGCCCGUCGCUACUACCGAUGGAUGAUUUGGUGAGGUCUUCGGACU
rnacentral:rRNA from 1 species